UGCGACCGCCACUUUGAAAUUUUAAAAAUUUUUUUAUAGCAUUCAAUUGUCCACAAAAAGUCCACCUUUGUCCAACAAAAGAUUUUAAUUGUCCACCUUUUGUUUAAAUAAAAAAUGGAAAAAAUAAUUUUUUCAAGUCGAAAGUUCAAAAAUUAGUAAUUAACAUUCACUAGAGCACUCAUCGGUUAUUUAGCGUUAAUAGACGUUUGUCCAACAGAAAAUUUCUUUUCUAAAUAAAAAAAAAAAAAAAAAAAAAGUUUAUUUUGGGUAAAAAUACUGAAAUAUGGCGAAAUACCAAUUUUACCGUUUCCACUACAUUUAUUGUUUGUCCACGGUAAGCUCAAAUAGACAAUCAAAGUUAUGCCCUAAAUUAUCAAUUCAUUCAUUCCUUUAGACUGCAGAGAUGAAUAAAACUUAAAUAUGAUAGUAUUUUACUUGUAACAAGUUUCCUAAAAAAUCAAAGGUUGGAGAAUUAAAUCCACUAGUUGGACAAUUAAAUCUACUAAUUGGACAAUUAAAAUUAUGCACUAAAUCAUCAAUUCAUUCAUUCCUUUAGACUGCAGAGAUGAAGAAAAAUUAAAUUUGAUAGUAUUUCACUUAUAAAGCGUAUCCUCAAAAUUCAAAGGUUGGACAAUUAAUUCCACUAGUUGGACAAUGCAAUCUACUAGUUGGACAAUUAAAAUUAUGUCCUAAAUCAUCAAUUCAUUCAUUCCUUUAGACUGCAGAUAUAAAUAAAACUUAAAUUUGAUGGUAUUUUACUUCUAACACGUUUCCUUAAAAUUCAAAGGUUGGACAAUUAAAUCCACUAGUUGGACAAUUAAAUCUACUAAUUGGACAAUUAAAAAUAUGCACUAAAUCAUUAAUUUAAUUAUUCCUUUGCAUUGCAGAGAUAAAGAAAAAUUAAAUUUGAUAGUAUUUCACUUAUAAAGCGUAUCCUCAAAAUUCAAAGGCUGGACAAUUAAUUCCACUAGUUGGACAAUGCAAUCUACUAGUUGGACAAUUAAAAUUAUGCACUAAAUCAUCUAUUCAUUCAUUCCUUUAGACUGCAGAGAUGAAGAAAAAUUAAAUUUGAUAGUAUUUCACUUAUAAAGCGUAUCCUCAAAAUUCAAAGGUUGGACAAUUAAUUCCACUAGUUGGACAAUGCAAUCUACUAGUUCGACAAUUAAAAUUAUGCACUAAAUCAUCUAUUCAUUCAUUCCUUUAGACUGCAGAUAUAAAUAAAACUUAAAUUUGAUGGUAUUUUACUUCUAACACGUUUCCUUAAAAUUCAAAGGUUGGACAAUUAAAUCCACCAGUUGGACAAUUAAAUUCACUAGUUGGACAAUUAAAAUUAUGUCCUAAAUCAUCAAUUCAUUUAUUCCUUUAGACUGCAGAGAUGAAUAAAACUUAAAUUUGAUAGUAUUUUACUUGUAACAAGUUUCCUAAAAAAUCA